UGGAAAAAGGAAGAAAGUUAAGGAAAUGACCUAACCAAAAGUACGAAGAUCCACCCUCCAUUAAGGCCUUUCUACUUUUUUCACUCAUUUCCUUAACUUUCUUCCUUUUUCCAGUAUCGGGCUCCAUCAAACACCUUAUUCCUCUCUCUAUUUCAUCACACUUCACAAUUAUUUCACUGUCCUUACUAUAAUCUAUUUUAAUCUCCACUGCUAAUCCUAACUCAAACACCAUCUCGAAUGCAUUAAGUUGUUGCUCUGAAUAUAUUGGCCACGCGGCGAUUGGAACCCCAAACCAUAUGCUCUCCAGCACAGAAUUCCACCCGCAAUGCGAUACAAAACCUCCCACAGCUUGAUGGGCCAAGAUGGCAACUUGUGGAGCCCACCCAAUCACCUUUCCAAUUCCAGCUGUUCGAUCCAAGAAUCCUUCAGGCAAAACCUCUUGUGGAUCCUCAUAGUCACUCGGAGAUGCUAGUUUUCCCGGAGGUGGUGGUCGGCGGAGGGCCCACAAGAAUCGAUACCCACUGUGUUCUAGCGCACAUGCAAUCUCUUUUACUUGAUCCUCGCUAAAACUUCCCAUGCUUCCAAAACACAAGAACACUACUGAUGAAAGAGGUUGGUUGUCAAGCCAUUGCAUUAUUUCCUGGGGUGCGUUGCUUCCGACCGACCCAAUAUCCAAAAUGGGUCCCACAGGAUACACAGGAGGCAUUUUUAAAGACUGAAUCGCAUAGGAUUCGAACUCCAAAAAUGUAUUUACGAUGAUACCCUUAACUUCUCUAUACCUUCUUGCAUUCUCUAAUGUAGGAGAAAGCAACUCUCUUCUUAACAUCGCAUAAGGCAUAACCCUUGCAGGAAAUGGGUUUACUAAGCUCGGUACUGGUAACUCAGCAUCCGAGUUCUUGAACUCAAUGGGGUCAAAUUUCUCUUCAUCAUGAAUCUUCUGUAAAUAAAGCAUGAGACCAAGAAAAGCUGCACUUGAAGUAAAGUAAAUGUAAGACGGAACAUCAAAGUCGUUAGCCACAUCAAUCAUCGGCGCGCAAAACAGAUCUAAAACAAAACCUCCCAGUCGAGGUGAAGGCGAGUCAGUGGUCGACUCUGAUUGAAUGAUCUUUAACACAGCUUCUUUAACAUGGGGUUUCUGUCUCUCGAUAAAAGAAGUGAAAUUAAAUAAUUCAGGCUCAUCUUUCGGCAAAA
rnacentral:misc_RNA from 1 species